rnacentral:rRNA from 1 species
GGAGUUAGCCGGUGCUUCUUCUGUGAGUGAUGUCCUUCCUGCCGGUUAUUGACCCGCAGGCCUUCUUCCUCACUGAAAGUGCUUUACAACCCGAAGGCCUUCUUCACACACGCGGCAUGGCUGGAUCAGGGUUGCCCCCAUUGUCCAAUAUUCCCCACUGCUGCCUCCCGUAGGAGUCUGGGCCGUGUCUCAGUCCCAGUGUGGCUGAUCAUCCUCUCAGACCAGCUACGGAUCGUCGCCUUGGUGAGCCGUUACCUCACCAACCAGCUAAUCCGACAUAGGCUCAUCCGAUAGCGCGAGGCCCGAAGGUCCCCCGCUUUCCCCCGUAGGGCGUAUGCGGUAUUAGCCUGGGUUUCCCCAGGUUAUCCCCCACUACCGGGCAGAUUCCUAUGCAUUACUCACCCGUCCGCCGCUCGCCACCAGGGAGCAAGCUCCCCGUGCUGCCGCUCGACUUGCAUGUGUAGCUGCCGCCACGCGUCAUCUGAGCCAUAAUACAACUACUGA